rnacentral:lncRNA from 1 species
UGAGAUUAAGUCCACGGACAGGCGUGACACAUGCAAACUUUUCGUUUAGGUGAACAUACGCCUUUCAUAUAGAGGUGGUGCCCGUUGAUGACUACUCUCACGCAAGCUUGGUUGCAUAAUUCUUGACCAUUUUUCUUAGCACAAGUUCCAUGCGGACCAUGCGGUAGGCGUAGGUUUGCUUCUAUAUUACAUCUAAAUCGUGUAUGUGUUGCUGGUGGUGGUUCUUGUGCUUUUUUUUGCAUUAAUGAUCCAUAUAUCUGCAAGAAACAUUUAAAUUUCUUUGAUUAAAAUUUCAAAUGUUAAAAAAAAGUAUUCAAAUUUCUUUGAUUAAAUUUGCAUAUAUUUAUUUUUAGUUUUCUUUGUUGAAACAAAUAAAACUAAAAAAAAAUCAUUAUUAUUUGGGUUUUGAUUGAUCAACUUUUACGGUUACAAGUUAUAAACAUACAUAUCUAAAUAAAAUUAAAAAUAUUUGAGAAACAAAACAUUUUUGGUUUUAUAAAAAAACUUUUCAAAAUAGAAGUGUAAACGGAUUACAGUUUGUGUUUAAUAAUAAUGUUACAUAAAAUAAAAUAUAAAUAACAAAUUGAGUUUCAACGAAAUCUCUAAAUCAUGAUGUUUAACUAUUACCUGUCAAAAUCAUGAAAAUCACCAAAUGAGUGAUGAAAACAAUGGCAUUCACACUUUUAGCCAUUCACUUUUACUUUAGUUGCACGUUAAUCUUUG